UUGGAGGGCAAGUCUGGUGCCAGCAGCCGCGGUAAUUCCAGCUCCAAUAGCGUAUAUUAAAGUUGCUGCAGUUAAAAAGCUCGUAGUUGAAUUUCGGGACCAAUAUGUCGGUCGUGCCUCGGUACGUACUGGCAUCGUUGGUUUCUCCCUUCUGAAGAACCUUGAUGUCAUUAAUUUGGUGUCGUGGGGAAUCAGGACUGUUACUUUGAAAAAAUUAGAGUGUUUAAAGCAGGCUCACGCUUGAAUACAUUAGCAUGGAAUAAUGAAAUAGGACGUUUGAUUCUAUUUUGUUGGUUUCUAGGAUCGACGUAAUGAUUAAUAGGGAUAGUUGGGGGCAUUAGUAUUCAAUUGUCAGAGGUGAAAUUCUUGGAUUUAUUGAAGACUAACUACUGCGAAAGCAUUUGCCAAGGAUGUUUUCAUUAAUCAAGAACGAAAGUUAGGGGAUCGAAGACGAUCAGAUACCGUCGUAGUCUUAACCAUAAACUAUGCCGACUAGGGAUCGGAUGAUGUUAAUUUUUUAAUGACUCAUUCGGCGCCUUACGGGAAAC
rnacentral:rRNA from 1 species